GUAGACCCGAAUCGGAGCUGUAACGAAGAAGAUAUGGUCUAAAUACCGCGAAGGGCAAAACGGUAAUUUGGAAAAAAGUCAGAUUUUUAUCCCUUCUCUCUCCUCUCCCCCGUCAGUUUUCUCUCUCUCUCCUCUCUCCCUCUCCCGUCGCACCCAGCUGUGCGAUGCUUCGACGUCUAGGCGACGGUCCGGCCACCACAGGCCGAGCUGAUCUCCGCCGUGGGCACCGUCGGCUCCACCUCCCUCUCGCCGUCACGACUUGACCAUCAUCCACCCUUGGGUCGCCCGGAGUUGAUCGGAAAGUCAUGAUUUCCGACGGAUGUUCACCCGAGUUCACCCGAUCUUCCAGCUCGAAUUUCUCCUUCGUUUCUCCACCAAAUCAAUCGAGUAAGGCACCAGAGGUUCAGUCGACCUGCAGGAGGGACCUUCGAGGGGUCCAAUUAGCUCGGACCAUCAGCCGUAGAAGUGCGUAGGAUCCACCACCGGGCCAUCCCUAGCUUCCGCGCCACCAAGUGAGGUAGAGUUUUGUGGAAAAGUUCUUGAAACUCUGUGAACUUUAGAAAAUGCUCUGAUAUAUAGUUUUAAUGGAAAACUGGAGUUGGUGAAUACUUGGUUAUUCUAUUAUGGCAGUUGGUGUGGAUUUUUUGAUUGUUUAACAGGUGGAAAAAUUUGGG